rnacentral:lncRNA from 1 species
AGUAGCAACUUAGCUGUACCUGACUGCCACUUUAAAACUACUAUUUUUGACAUUAGGAAUUGAAAAUAAUUGUGAAUGCACCCAUUCUUGGAAAACCAGGCAAGAGGUUUCCCUGGACCCUUGAAGCAUGAGAAGAGAUCUAUGAAAGGCUAAAUUACUGUUGCUAGCAAAGGAAGGCUCACAUGGGUGAAGCUGUGAUCAGAAGCAUAAGAUCCCUGGGCUGCACUAUGGUGGGUACUCUUAAGAAUGACCUCCAAUCUAGAAAUGACACUUUUAACCUGUAGGAUGUGGCCUGGUAUUAAGGGCGUACAAGGCUUAAGGCCAGCUGU